rnacentral:sRNA from 1 species
ACAGACCUGCAGAUCUUCUGUGUUUCCUGUGGGCACCCCAUCAACCCACGUGUUGCUUUGCGCCACAUGGAGCGCUGCUACGCCAAGGUUGGGGUGUCAGACUGAGGGGGCGGACCAUGUGGGAACAUCGGUGGGCCAGUGGGGGACAGAUUUGUUGUCUGGGUGGUGUCUUGGGAGGGCAUGCAGUGCACAUCCACAGUUCCCUCCAUUUGUGCUCAUCCCUCCAGUAUGAGAGCCAGACGUCCUUUGGGUCCAUGUACCCCACACGCAUUGAAGGGGCCACACGACUCUUCUGUGAUGUGUAUAAUCCUCAGAGCAAAACAUACUGUAAGCGGCUCCAGGUGCUGUGCCCCGAGCACUCACGGGACCCCAAAGUGCCAGCUGACGAGGUAUGCGGGUGCCCCCUUGUACGUGAUGUCUUUGAGCUCACGGGUGACUUCUGCCGCCUGCCCAAGCGCCAGUGCAAUCGCCAUU